UACAGAGGUCCCAAGCGUUGUUCGGAUUCAUUGGGCGUAAAGGGUGCGUAGGUGGCGCUGUAAGUCGGGUGUGAAAUUCGUGGCUUAACUCCGAAACUGCAUUCGAUACUGCGGUGCUUGAGGACUGGAGAGGAGACUGGAAUUCAGGUGUAGCAGUGAAAUGCGUAGAGAUCAUAGAAGACCAGUGGCGAAGGCGGGUCUCUGGACAGUUCCUGACGCUGAGGCACGAAGGCCAGGGGAGCAAACGGG
rnacentral:rRNA from 1 species